UUUCAUUUUCAUUCAUCUUUCUCUCUCUCAGCGUUAAUUCUUUCUCUCCUACUCCUAUCUCACAAACCCAGAAAAAGAACCACCACCAUGAACCCCAACAAUACAAGAAUCCUAAUCUUAGAUUUUUUCAAAAAAAAAAAAACAAUAAAUCGAAGCAUUCAGACACGCAUUGCAAACACUAAUUCAGUCGUAUCACGAACAAGGUGAUAGUGCAAGCGUACGAUUCGUCUUUUUCUCGUCUCUUUCUCCUCCCCUGAUCUUUUUUUCGUUUUCUUUUCUUGGUCCCCCUUUUCUUAGAUUCUUAGGUCUUGAUUUAUAGCUAUUAGGAAUUGAUGAAUUAGGAAAUUAGUCUUUAAAGAUUUCGAUUCGAAUUGAUUCUGAAGAUUUGAUUUAGUUUUAAGAGGUUUGAUUUGUAUUAGUUUUUGAUUUAGGAAAGGUUUUAUUGUUUUGUUAAAGUUUGAUUUGAUUUCGAUUUAGUUGUAAUAAUUUUGUUGAUUAAUGAAGAUUUUUCUUUCAAUGCAUGA